rnacentral:misc_RNA from 1 species
GAUGAAGAACGCAGUGAAAUGCGAUAAGUAAUGUGAAUUGCAGAAUUCAGUGAAUCAUCGAAUCUUUGAACGCACCUUGCGCCCUUUGGCCAUUCCGAAGGGCAUGCCUGUUUGAGUAUCAUGAACACCUCAACUCUUUAUGGUUUUCCAUGAUGAGCUUGGACUUUGGGGGUUUUGCUGGCCUAUGGUCGGCUCCUCUAAAAUAAAUCAGCUUACCGGUGUUUGGUGGGUAUCAUGGGUGUGAUAACUAUCUACGCUUGUGGUUUUUCCACCAGGUAACCUUCGACAGCGGAGGUUCACUGGAGCUCAUAGAUGUCUCUCCUCAGCGAGGACAGCCCUUUGAAUGUUUGAUCUCAAAUCAGGUAGGACUACCCGCUGAACUUAAGCAUAUCAAAAGCGGAGGA